GGAGAGCUGGCUGAGCGGUCGAAAGCGGCGGUCUUGAAAACCGUUGAGGGCUAAUACCCCUCCUGGGGUUCGAAUCCCUAGCUCUCCGCCA
rnacentral:tRNA from 1 species